UACAGAGGUCCCGAGCGUUGUUCGGAUUCACUGGGCGUAAAGGGUGCGUAGGUGGCAGGGUAAGUCGGAUGUGAAAGCUCGGAGCUCAACUCCGAAAUGGCAUUGGAAACUACCUUGCUCGAGGGUUGGAGGGGGGACUGGAAUACUUGGUGUAGCAGUGAAAUGCGUAGAUAUCAAGUGGAACACCAGUGGCGAAGGCGAGUCCCUGGACAACUCCUGACACUGAGGCACGAAAGCUAGGGGAGCAAACAGG
rnacentral:rRNA from 1 species